rnacentral:misc_RNA from 1 species
GAUGAAGAACGCAGCGAAAUGCGAUAACUAAUGCGAAUUGCAGAAUCCGUGAGUCAUCGAAUCUUUGAACGCACAUUGCGCCCUCUGGUAUUCCGGAGGGCAUGCCUGUUCGAGCGUCAUUAUCACCCCUCAAGCCCGGCUUGUUGUUGGAUGCAGCGCUUAUCCCGCUCCUCCCAAAGAUAAUGACGGCGUCUGCGACGACUCCUGUACACUGAGCUUUCGGGCACGUACACGGCUAGAAGUCCAGACCCGGUCGCCGUCCCCCCCGCGGGGACACCCAUUACCACAAGGUUGACCUCGGAUCAGGUAGGAAUACCCGCUGAACUUAAGCAUAUCAAUAAGCGGAGGA